AGUGGGUAGUCCGCACGAGCGCACCCCUUACCCUUAAUUGCCAUCGGGUUAUGCCGGGCACUUUAGGGGGACUGCCGGUGACAAGCCGGAGGAGGGUGGGGAUGACGUCAAGUCCUCAUGGCCUUUAUGACCAGGGCUACACACGUGUUACAAUGGGAGUUACAGAGGGAAGCUAAACCGCGAGGUCAUGCCAAUCCCAGAAAAACUUUCUCAGUUCGGAUCGCAGUCUGCAACUCGACUGCGUGAAGCUGGAAUCGCUAGUAAUCGCGGAUCAGCACGCCGCGGUGAAUACGUUCCCGGGCCUUGUACACACCGCCCGUCACACCAUGGGAGCCGACAAGGGCAGAAGUCGCCGAGCUAACCUUCGGGAAGCAGGCGCCCAAGCUGUUGUUGACGACUGGGGUGAAGUCGUAACAAGGUAGCCGUAGGAGAACCUGCGGCUGGAUCACCUCCUUUCU
rnacentral:rRNA from 1 species